AUUGAAUGAGCCUGGUUGGGCCAGGACACCGGGGGAACCCCUACUCUUUGCGAUAAGUGCCCUGGGAUCUUUUAUGACCUCAGUGAGUCAGGACCUCGGUUUUACGUCUCCUCCGAAGGACGAGUACAACUUAACGUCUCUGGAACUGAAAACCUCCCAGAAUCGACCUCAUCCUUCGACUCUUAUCAAUAGUCAUUCAUGUAGGUAGAUACUGCUGGCAUUGUGCAUCAUUCAAUCACAUUCAAUAACAAUGCAUUGCCUUUGAAAUCUUCUAGUUCCGUCUUGGGUUGUAGUAGGAUUGUAUUGGCAGUAUUUAAGUCUUGGUAUAGGCUGUCUUGAUGACUCACAGCCUUGUGUGGUUGGGCUGUGGCUGCUGGACUGGCUACUGCCUCGAGUGCCUCCUGUAUUGACCUUGGCGUGGACGUGCUAACCGGUAGAGCAAAGAGAGCUCUCUUUAAAUCGCUUCUCUGAGGAAAACUGCUGCAACCAAGUCAGGGUUAGUCAGGAUUCCUGGAGUCAACUCUAGUGUAGUUAAUAAUGCUUUAACGGCAUUAAGACGUAAACUGGGGACUAAUGUGAAGGAGUCCUUGAAGGAAGAUAAAUAUACAUAGUAGAAAACACAUGAAGGUGAGUAAUUUCCAUGCCCUCAACAUUGGGUAGUUGAUAUUAUAAUGUAGUCACGGACAAGGCCAAAUGCUACUUCUGCUUGUUUUAAAGGUCAGAUGUAUUUGUGUGUUUGAGGGUUUUUAUCUACACCUGUUCCUUUAUCAGGUAUGUUUAAAUGGGACAUAUUAUGCCACCAGGUGUGAGUGUGAUUAGCCUUACAAGCCGUUUCGAAAAUCUGCCCCAUAUGACAUUACUAGUAGGCGUGUCCGCCUAGAUCUGUGCUGGAUAGGCUAAUCACACUGACACCUGGUGGUAUAAUAUGUCCCCUUUAAUAGGGUUUAUCAGGCGGCCUGCUGACCUUCCCCCGCCUGCAGUAAACUGAACUGGAAACUCGCAUUUUGGCGCCAUCUGGCCUUGGAUCCCGUUGAUGCGCUCACGUUGACGUUGCUGCGCGCUCAUUGGACCGUUAUACUGUCCGUCCAAAAGUAGUUGGGGAACUGCGUUGGAUCCGCCCUCCUCCCAAACUGAACUUCGGCGGCGCUUCCCAGGAUUGUCAUGAGAGGACUUUUCACUUUCCAGGGUGGACGCGGCGGGACAAGACAAGAAAAGUUCCUGGUCCAGGUGAAGUACGGCCAACAGCAGAAGUAUGUGAAGUUGGAUGAGGAUGAAGGACGGUUUGACUUUCGGCAAUUCCAUGAAAAAGUCAAUGAGGUGGAGCAGAACCACCAGGGUCAGGACGGAGAAGCCCAGCAGCACCAGGACACGCAGCAGAACCCCCGCCGUAGGAUCUGCAAGAGAUCACACCGACCUCCAUGAGCUGAUGGUACAACGCCUCCAUGAGCUGAUGGUACAACGCCUCCAUGAGCUGAUGGGUUUAUCAGGCGGCCUGCUGACCUUCCCCCGCCUGCAGUAAACUGAACUGGAAACUCGCAUUUUGGCGCCAUCUGGCCUUGGAUCCCGUUGAUGCGCUCACGUUGACGUUGCUGCGCGCUCAUUGGACCGUUAUACUGUCCGUCCAAAAGUAGUUGGGGAACUGCGUUGGAUCCGCCCUCCUCCCAAACUGAACUUCGGCGGCGCUUCCCAGGAUUGUCAUGAGAGGACUUUUCACUUUCCAGGGUGGACGCGGCGGGACACGACAAGAAAAGAUCCUGGUCCAGGUGAAGUACGGCCAACAGCAGAAGUAUGUGAAGUUGGAUGAGGAUGAAGGACGGUUUGACUUUCGGCAUUCCAUGAAAAAGUCAAUGAGGUGGAGCACAACCACCAGGGUCAGGACGGAGAAGCCCAGCAGCACCAGGACACGCAGCAGAACCCCCGCCGUAGGAUCUGCAAGAGAUCACACCGACCUCCAUGAGCUGAUGGUACAGCGCCUCCAUGAGCUGAUGGGUUUAUCAGGCGGCCUGCUGACCUUCCCCCGCCUGCAGUAAACUGAACUGGAAACUCGCAUUUUGGCGCCAUCUGGCCUUGGAUCCCGUUGAUGCGCUCACGUUGACGUUGCUGCGCGCUCAUUGGACCGUUAUACUGUCCGUCCAAAAGUAGUUGGGGAACUGCGUUGGAUCCGCCCUCCUCCCAAACUGAACUUCGGCGGCGCUUCCCAGGAUUGUCAUGAGAGGACUUUUCACUUUCCAGGGUGGACGCGGCGGGACAAGACAAGAAAAGAUCCUGGUCCAGGUGAAGUACGGCCAACAGCAGAAGUAUGUGAAGUUGGAUGAGGAUGAAGGACGGUUUGACUUUCGGCAUUCCAUGAAAAAGACUAGGUCUAUAGCAAGAGACAUCGAAACGAGGAUACACGUGAUGCUGCGUCUGCCUAGCAGGUUUCUUAACACUUAACACAAACUGGCCAUGCAUAAAUGUGCUAAUUUGCCAUUGCAUAAAUGUACUAAUGUACUAAUUUAAUAUCUCCUCUCAGGCACCUCCCCACUAAAGCAAUCAGAGAAGAUUAUGCACAUGGUCUAUUGAUUCGGUUCCCUUCCCUCAAGGAUCCAUGUUCCAAGAAGGGCUAAUCAAUGAGGUGGAGCACAACCACCAGGGUCAGGACGGAGAAGCCCAGCAGCACCAGGACACGCAGCAGAACCCCCGCCGUAGGAUCUGCAAGAGAUCACACCGACCUCCAUGAGCUGAUGGUACAGCGCCUCCAUGAGCUGAUGGUACGCCUUGAGUGGUCAGAAAAGGCUAAUGGAGUCCAUCUACCAUUCAUACCAACCAUCAUGGGGUUAUGUCUGAAACUAACAGACUUUCUGUAUAAAUAAUAGGAUGAAAGAGGGUAAGAUAGUCCUGUGGCGUCACUAGGCUGUUUUAUACGGGACGUCAGACUAGGCUUUUCCGAUGUAGUCUGGCGUCACGAGUCACGACCAAGGGGCAGCGGCGGAUAGUGUGGCCGUGUGGAGCUCUGCCUGGGCAGCGGUGUAUUUAAUACCCGUGUCCGGGCGAGGGUUCGAUAUAAGAAUAUAUAUAUUUCAAGAAAAUUCAAAAUACAACAUCGCUCAUUAUAACACUCGUAACAGUUACACAACGACCGUACUAAAAAAGUAUCAUGAAGUUGCCGUGGGUCGUAACCAUGGGGAUAACACGCCCCCCUCUUUCCUAAAACUCGGCCCAAAACAAAUUUUUUUAAUCAAGUGUUCGAAUCCCAGCCGAAGCAGCGGGCUCACUGGCUCUUUAACGUUAAAAAUAAGAAAGCAGAGUGUUUCCUGAGAUGGCUUCAGGUGUGUAUACGAAACGAAGACUGGAGGAUACAUACAGCUGGUCUGAAGUUGGACUAUCAACGCUUUCCCGGAAUUCACUCCAUUGAAGGCGACGAUCUAAAAACACAAGAGUUUCAGUUGAACAAGGUGCGACACAUACCUGGAUAGGUCUGGCGGGAAGGGGUCGUCACACCUACCGAUACCGUGUACCCCGUGGAGUAGCUCAGAUCACCGAAUUGGAAAAAACAUUUUUCGUUGGUUUUUUUUUCUUCAGAUCCAGUGAUUGUGGCGUGGUAGAAUAUUUUUGGACCUUUCCAAUCCUCCUUUUUUAAAUCAGUGCAUUCCACCUUGAAGGCAUUGUUCUCCACCUGAGUUGUUAGUUUAAUUGUAACGUCUUGGGGCACUAAGAGACAGAGGAGGAUGAAUCACGUUCACUUUCACACGUUUCAGAGUCAGUUUAACACGUUCAAUUACAUUAUUGAUGACUAUUCUUCUUGAUCUAUGUGUACUCCAGAUUCAGAUAACUUUAUUUAUCCCUAUUGGGAAGUUGUUUGGGUCACAGUGCUUCUCUGCUCCAGAGAGAAAGACGGUCUUGCUGCUGUGUGCUCAGUAUUGUGGUAUACUGUAGGCUAUUUGUAUAUUUGACAUAGGGUAAUGAAAAAAAGUGCUUCUGCGAAUUAUACCUCCUAUGUUUUAGUUAUAGUUUUACAAGAGCUCACCUCCAGCGCUGGUUUUGCUCUGUUUAUUGGUUGCCGUGCCAAUGGGUGUACCGUUGAAAUUAGGUUGAAUUUCGCAAUUAUACUCAGUGAAGGGCAGCAAACCAGUCACUUCACAAGAACGCGCCUUUGAGGGGCGAGCUAAAGGAGACAAAGCAAUACAUGAAGACACCAUUGACCAACAGUAGAACAGACUGCAUGGCUUGUUUCUUUCUUUGUAUUUGAAUUGAAAUAAAUAUCUUAAUAGAUCU